rnacentral:rRNA from 1 species
GACGAACCGUGCAAACGUUAUUCGGAAUCACUGGGCGUAAAGCGCACGUAGGCGGAUUGCUAAGUCAGGGGUGAAAUCCUGGAGCUCAACUCCAGAACUGCCUUUGAUACUGGCGAUCUCGAGUCCGGGAGAGGUGAGUGGAACUGGCGAGUGUAGAGGUGAAAAUUCGUAGAUAUUCGCAAGAACACCAGUGGCGAAGGCGGCUCACUGGCCCGGUACUGACGCUGAGGUGCGAAAGCGUGGGGAGCAAACAGGGAUUAAGAUACCC